GCAAGUAGGAAGCGAAUGAGAGAACUCGACGAGGGGGAUCUUGAUUCCACCUUUUAGAGGCCAACUUACCUAUACUUGGAAAGCUGGUGUGUAGACUUGACUCACUGCCUCUUUCUUCCCCACGCCUUUGCCCUCCUUCCACGAUCUCUUUCGCAACGUCAUCACACCGUCGCACGAUCUCUCUCUCUCUCUCUCUCUCUUCUCUACUAUUGAAGAUCGAACAUGGAGGCUUCUCAAUCUCUGCUCCAACGAUAUCGCAGCGAUCGUCGUCAGCUCCUGAGUUUCAUACUCUCAUCAGGUUUGAUAAAGGAGCUCCGGUCCCCUACUGGUGCCACCUCCUCUGUCUCCGACUCUGAUCUUGAACUUCUCAGCGCCGAUUACGUCCUCCAAUGCGCACAAUCCGGAUCCGAGUCUUGUCUUUGUUCGCCGUGGAACCUCUAGAACAAAUUCAAGACAAGGCACUCUGAGAAGAAGUGACUCCAUGUGGCACACAAAUUAUUAACCUGUGGUAGCCAAAUUGUUGCUUUGAGAUGUUCUACCUCUUGUUUACAUAAAAGUGUAGCAGCUCAAGGUUUUUGUAUUUUUAGCUGCUGAGUAUGAAACUCCAAAGAACUCCCUGAAUCAGGUCAGCUUUUUAGCAUUUGGUGGCAUGCAUUAUUUCAUCAUGAGUUCAUUUCAAUUUGGCAUUGGAUAUUAUUCUUAACCUCAAGCUUCAUUUCAAAUUUCAUGAGAUUAUGGAGCUAGUCAGUUUUUGUCCGAUGUCCCUUGCUGGAUAGGUGCAGUCGGAUCAUUGUCCAGAUCAUCCUUAGACUCCAUAAUAAGUACUAUGAUGUUUCUCGAUUCUUGAAAUUUUUUCCCUUUACUCUAUGUUUCAGAUAUUGGCAUACAUGAUGAUAAAUUUAACCUUUUGGCUUAAGAAAUUUUGCUCCUUAGCUUCUACAUAUUUACUCUGAACAUGAUAGACAAUGUUUAAAAAAUUUGAAUGUCUUUAUUAUUAUGGCUAAUAUAUGUAACAUAGUGAUAAAAAGCCAAGUGUGGUUGAUGCCUCUUGAGGUUAUUUGGACUUAAGUCUUUGUAUUAUAAUUUUUUAAGCUUGUAUUGCCAGGGAAAAAAGAGAAACCUAAAUCGGCCACCAGUUAUGCUUCUUGAACUGUUUCUUUAGGUUAGACCUAGAGAUGUUAUAAAAAGUAUGGACAAAGCCUUUCACACAAAUAUUAUAUUGAACUUCUAGAGAGAGAGAAAAG